GUGGGGGGGUCCCCCUAGCCCGAGAGCUGUGUAUGCGUGUUUGAGGUUGGACUCAACCCAUGACUGGUAAAGAAAGACCGGGGAGGGGGGUGGGGGGGAGAAAGGCUACUCCGCCAUGGCUGUGAGCAGAUUGGUAUAGCCUCGUUGUAGUUGUGUCGUGAUAGCCUAUCUGUGUGUGAACUUGUCGAGUUCUUCUGUGCGGGCGGCCUAUUUGUGUG